rnacentral:rRNA from 1 species
GCUUGUCUCAAAGAUUAAGCCAUGCAUGUCUAAGUAUAAAUAUCUAUACUGUGAAACUGCGUAUGGCUCAUUAAAUCAGUUAUAGUUUAUUUGAUGAUACCCCACUACAUGGAUAACCGUAGUAAUUCUAGAGCUAAUACAUGCAUCAAUCCCCGACUUCUGGAAGGGGUGUAUUUAUUAGAUGGAAACCAAUGCGGGGCAACCCGGAAUCUGGUGAAUCAUAAUAACUUUCGGAUCGAUCUUCGGAUCGAUGCAUCAUUCAAGUUUCUGCCCUAUCAGCUUUGGAUGGUAGGGUAUUGGCCUACCAUGGCUUUAACGGGUAACGGAGAAUUAGGGUUCGAUUCCGGAGAGGGAGCCUGAGAAACGGCUACCACAUCCAAGGAAGGCAGCAGG